rnacentral:rRNA from 1 species
AUACGUAGGUGGCGAGCGUUGUCCGGAAUUACUGGGCGUAAAGGAUGCGUAGGUGGAUACUUAAGUGGGAUGUGAAAUCCCCGGGCUCAACCCGGGAACUGCAUUCCAAACUGGGUAUCUAGAGUGCAGGAGAGGAAAGCGGAAUUCCUAGUGUAGCGGUGAAAUGCGUAGAUAUUAGGAGGAACACCAGUGGCGAAGGCGGCUUUCUGGACUGUAACUGACACUGAGGCAUGAAAGCGUGGGUAGCAAACAGGAUUAGAUACCCUGGUAGUCCACGUCGUAAACGAUGGGUACUAGGUGUAGGAGGUAUCGACCCCUUCUGUGCCGUCGUUAACACAAUAAGUACCCCGCCUGGGGAGUACGGUCGCAAGACUAAAACUCAAAUGAAUUGGCGGGG